rnacentral:rRNA from 1 species
AUUGAACGCUGGCGGCAGGCUUAACACAUGCAAGUCGAGCGGAGAUGAGGUGCUUGCACCUUAUCUUAGCGGCGGACGGGCGAGUAAUGCCUAGGAAUCUGCCUGGUAGUGGGGGACAACGUUUCGAAAGGAAUGCUAAUACUGCAUACGUCCUACGGGAGAAAGCAGGGGACCUUCGGGCCUUGCGCUAUCAGAUGAGCCUAGGUCGGAUUAGCUAGUAGGUGAGGUAAUGGCUCACCUAGGCGACGAUCCGUAACUGGUCUGAGAGGAUGAUCAGUCACACUGGAACUGAGACACGGUCCAGACUCCUACGGGAGGCAGCAGUGGGGAAUAUUGGACAAUGGGCGAAAGCCUGAUCCAGCCAUGCCGCGUGUGUGAAGAAGGUCUUCGGAUUGUAAAGCACUUUAAGUUGGGAGGAAGGGCAGUAAGUUAAUACCUUGCUGUUUUGACGUUACCAACAGAAUAAGCACCGGCUAACUUCGUGCCAGCAGCAGCCGCCGUAA